rnacentral:rRNA from 1 species
AUGUAUGAUAUGGGUAAUUGUGAUGUUAAUGAAGACAAAGAGGAGGAGGAGAUCGAGGAGGACAAGGAGGAGUUUCUCUCUUCCAUAUGUGAGCUCGGCAAAGCGGGCCUUGAGUCUCUGCACAUCUUUGUAAAGGAGGCAGCGGAUGAGUACUUCAAGCGUUCAUGGUUUCCCGAUCCUCAUUGUGGCCUUCAUGAGCUUAUCGUCGUGGGGGACUCCCUCUCGAAGGUUCCGGCAUCGGUGGCCUCGCUCGUCAACCUUGAGAAACUAUGCAUCACAAUGGGAGUGAUCAAUGAGAGAGACAUGGAGAUACUGAGAGGCUUGCCCAGCUUGUGCCAUCUUCGCGGUCUGAGUCGCGGGCUGCUAUGGAGAAAGCAAUGGAGGAACAUCCUAAUCAUCCCACCUUGGUUUGGUAUGACGAUUAGCUCUGGGGUUUUUGGCCACCUUUCAGGUGUUAACAAAAGGUGA